CUUGGCUAAUGAGUCUUGGGUAAUGUGUCUUGGCUAAUGUGUCUCGGCUAAUGUGUCUUGUCUAAGGUGUCUUGGCUAAGGUGUCUUGGCUAAUGUGUCUUGGCUAAGGUGUCUUGGCUAAUGUGUCUUGGCUAAUGUGUCUUGGCUAAGGUGUCUUGGCUAAGGUGUCUUGGCUAAGGUGUCUUGGCUAAGGUGUCUUGGCUAAUGUGUCUCGGCUAAUGUGUCUCGGCUAAUGUGUCUUAGCUAAUGUGUCUUGGCUAAGGUGUCUCGGCUAAUGUGUCUUGGCUAAGGUGUCUUGGCUAAUGUGUCUUGGCUAAGGUGUCUUGGCUAAUGUGUCUCGGCUAAUGCAUCUUGGCUAAGGUGUCUUGGCUAAGGUGUCUUGGCUAAGGUGUCUUGGGUAAUGUGUCUUGGCUAAUGUGUCUUGGCUAAGGUGUCUUGGCUAAGGUGUCUUGACUAAGGUGUCUUGGGUAAUGUGUCUUGGCUAAUGUGUCUUGGCUAAGGUGUCUUGGCUAAUGUGUCUUGGCUAAUGUGUCUUGGCUAAGGUGUCUUGGCUAAUGUGUCUUGGCUAAGGUGUCUUGGCUAAGGUGUCUUGGCUAAUGUGUCUCGGCUAAGGUGUCAUGGCUAAGGUGUCUUGGCUAAGGUGUCUUGGCUAAUGUGUCUUGGCUAAUGUGUCUUGGCUAAUGUAUCUUGGCUAAGGUGUCUUGGCUAAGGUGUCUUGGCUAAGGUGUCUUGGCUAAGGUGUCUUGGCUAAUGUGUCUCAGCUUAUGUGUCUCGGCUAAUGUGUCUUGGCUAAGGUGUCUUGGCUAAUGUGUCUUGGCUAAGGUGUCUUGGCUAAUGUGUCUUGGCUCAUGUGUCCCGGCUAAUGUGUCUUGGCUAAGGUGUCUUGGCUAAUGUGUCUCGGCUAAUGUGUCUCGGCUAAUGUGUCUUGGCUAAGGUGUCUUGGCUAAGGUGUCUUGGCUAAGGUGUUUUGGCUAAUGUGUCGUGGCUAAGGUGUCUUAGCUAAGGUGAAUUGGCUAAGGUGAAUUGGCUAAGGUGUCUUGGCUAAUGUGUCUCGGCUAAGGUGUCUUGGCUAAGGUGUCUUGGCUAAGGUGUCUUGGCUAAUGUGUCUUGGCUAAUGUGUCUUGGCUAAUGUGUCUUGGCUAAGGUGUCUCGGCUAAGGUGUCUUAGCUAUGUUGUCUUGGCUAAGGUGUCUUGGCUAAGGUGUCUUGGCUAAGGUGUCUUGGCUAAGGUGUCUUGGCUAAUGUGUCUUGGCUAAGGUGUCUUGGCUAAUGUGUCUUGGCUAAGGUGUAUUGGCUAAUGUGACUCGGCUAAGGUGUCUUGGCUAAGGUGUCUCGGCUAAUGUGUCUUGGCUAAGGUGUCUUGGCUAAUGUGUCUUGGCUAAGGUGUCUUGGCUAAUGUGUCUUGGCUAAGGUGUCUUGGCUAAUGUGUCUCGGCUAAGGUGUCUUGGCUAAGGUGUCUUGGCUAAGGUGUCUUGGCUAAUGUGUCUCGGCUAAUGUGUCUCGGCUAAUGUGUCUUGGCUAAGGUGUCUUGGCUAAUGUGUCUUGGCUAAGGUGUCUUGGCUAAUGUGUCUUGGCUAAGGUGUCUCGGCUAAUGUGUCUUGGCUAAGGUGUCUUGGCUAAUGUGUCUUGGCUAAGGUGUCUUGGCUAAUGUGUCUUGGCUAAUGUGUCUCGGCUAAUGUGUCUUGGCUAAGGUGUCUUGGCUAAUGUGUCUCGGCUAAUGUGUCUCGGCUAAUGUGUCUUGGCUGAUGUGUCUUGGCUAAUGUGUCUUGGCUAAGGUGUCUUGGCUUAUGUGUCUCGGCUAAGGUGUCUUGGAUAAUGUGUCUUGGCUAAUGUGUCUUGGCUAAGGUGUCUUGGCUAAUGUGUCUUGGCUAAGGUGUCUUGGCUAAGGUGUCUUGGCUAAUGUGUCUUGGCUAAGGUGUCUUGGCUAAGGUGUCUUGGCUAAUGUGUCUUGGCUAAUGUGUCUUGGCUAAGGUGUCUUGGCUAAGGUGUCUUGGCUAAAGUGUCUUGGCUAAUGUGUCUUGGCUAAGGUGUCUUGGCUAAUGUGUCUUGGCUAAUGUGUCUUGGCUAAUGUGUCUUGGCUAAGGUGUCUUGGCUAAUGUGUCUUGGCUAAUGUGUCUUGGCUAAUGUGUCUUGGCUAAGGUGUCUCGGCUAAGGUGUCUUGGAUAAUGUGUCUUGGCUAAUGUGUCUCGGCUAAUGUGUCUUGGCUAAUGUGUCUUGGCUAAGGUGUCUUGGCUAAUGUGUCUUGGCUAAGGUGUUUUGGCUAAUGUGUCUCGGCUAAUAUGUCUUGGCUAAGGUGUCUUGGCUAAGGUGUCUUGGCUAAUGUGUCUUGGCUAAGGUGUCUUGGCUAAGGUGUCUUGGCUAAUGUGUCUUGGCUAAGGUGUCUUGGCUAUGGUGUCUUGGCUAAUGUGUCUCGGCUAAUGUGUCUCGGCUAAUGUGUCUUGGCUGAUGUGUCUUGGCUGAUGUGUCUUGGCUAAGUUGUCUUGGCUUAUGUGUCUCGGCUAAGGUGUCUUGGAUAAUGUGUCUUGGCUAAUGUGUCUUGGCUAAGGUGUCUUGGCUAAUGUGUCUUGGCUAAUGUGUCUUGGCUAAGGUGUCUUGGCUAAGGUGUCUUGGCUAAUGUGUCUUGGCUAAGGUGUCUUGGCUAAUGUGUCUUGGCUAAUGUGUCUUGGCUAAGGUGUCUUGGCUAAGGUGUCUUGGCUAAUGUGUCUCGGCUAAUGUGUCUCGGCUAAUGUGUCUUGGCUGAUGUGUCUUGGCUAAUGUGUCUUGGCUAAGGUGUCUUGGCUUAUGUGUCUCGGCUAAGGUGUCUUGGAUAAUGUGUCUUGGCUAAUGUGUCUUGGCUAAGGUGUCUUGGCUAAUGUGUCUUGGCUAAGGUGUCUUGGCUAAGGUGUCUCGGCUAAUGUGUCUUGGCUAAGGUGUCUUGGUUAAGGUGUCUUGGCUAAUGUGUCUUGGCUAAGGUGUCUUGGCUAAGGUGUCUUGGCUAAGGUGUCUUGGCUAAUGUGUCUCGGCUAAGGUGUCUUGGCUAAGGUGUCUUGGCUAAUGUGUCUCGGCUAAUGUGUCUCGGCUAAUGUGUCUUGGCUAAGGUAUCUUGGCUAAUGUGUCUUGGCUAAGGUGUCUUGGCUAAGGUGUCUUGGCUAAUGUGUCUUGGCUAAGGUGUCUUGGCUAAGGUGUCUUGGCUAAUGUGUCUCGGCUAAUGUGUCUUGGCUAAUGUGUCUUGGCUAAGGUGUCUUGGCUAAUGUGUCUUGGCUAAGGUGUUUUGGCUAAUGUGUCUCGGCUAAUAUGUCUUGGCUAAGGUGUCUUGGCUAAGGUGUCUUGGCUAAUGUGUCUUGGCUAAGGUGUCUUGGCUAAUGUGUCUUGGCUAAUGUGUCUUGGCUAAGGUGUCUUGGCUAUGGUGUCUUGGCUAAGGUGUCUUGGCUAAGUGUCUUGGCUAAUGUGUCUUGGCUAAGGUGUCUUGGCUAAUGUGUCUUGGCUAAUGUGUCUCGGCUAAUGUGUCUUGGCUAAGGUGUCUCGGCUAAUGUUUCUUGGCUAAGGUGUCUUGGCUAAUGUGUCUUGGCUAAGGUGUCUUGGCUAAUGUGUCUUAGCUAAUAUGUCUUGGCUAAUGUGUCUUGGCUAAGGUGUCUUGGCAAAUGUGUCUCGGCUAAGGUGUCUUGGCUAAGGUGUCUUGGGUAAUGUGUCUCGGCUAAUGUGUCUCGGCUAAUGUGUCUCAGCUAAGGUGUCUUGGCUAAGGUGCCUCGGCUAAUGUG